UAGUAUCCGCGAACAGAAGAUGCCAAUAGGCUUAAUAGGGAAUCCGGUGUGAAGCCGGAGCUGCCCCCGCAACUGUAAGCACUCGCGAAAUGGAUAAUCCACUGUACCACAUGUACGGGAAGGACCAGAGUAGAAUCGGGUGCGAGCCAGGAGACCUGUCUUCGUUUGCAGAAGUUUC
rnacentral:ncRNA from 15 species